UGUCCUAGUGGGAAACGCGUCUCUCUAUUCUUCGUUCGAUGUCUUCUUCAUCUUUUUAACAGAAAUAAGAUGUUGCCAGGUGGUGGCAAUAUAAAUCUGUCGGGAGGGGAUGCUAGCGACCUUGAAAAGCGUCAGAUAAGACAAAACUACCGGUCCUUGAUUGAAGAACUCAACGCCAACAAAGAGGAUCUUAUCAACCCAUCUUCUGAUGCUUUGGACGCUCAACUCAGUAAAGCUGAAUUAUAUUCCAAACCUGUGUUUGGAUCGACCAACAUUCGAACGCGAGAAGCUGCUCUCGAUUCUUACGCUCUGAACCUAAUCUCCGGCCUCGGCAAACAGAAAGCUCAGGCCCUCAAUACAGAAUUCAUCAGGUUCCAACCGUUGGAGUAUACCGACAAACUGAAGAACAGUCUCGGUUCGGAACAUUUGGAGUCGCUCGAUGGAGAACGUAUGGUUGUGUCUCGAUCCGGGUGGAUUACCAUGGGACAAGAAUGCAGCUAUUUGUUCGCCCGUUUCACCCCUCUGCAUCUUUUAUACGGUUCGUUUGACCCGGGGGUCGUUAAAAUGCACAAACACAUCAACCGUAGACCACGAGACAAGGAAAAUUCAUCGGAAAAGGCGACUGUUCCGAAACAGAUAUCGAAAUUCGGAGACAUUGAAAAAAAUGAAGCGACUACAGAGGAAGUAGAGCGAGUGUUGAAAUGUCUUCGGGAUAACCACAGCGUUGAAGGUAAAGAACCAAUCUGCUAUUUCCGUUUCGUUGUUAACCCGGAUUCGUUUGGCCAAACGGUCGAAAACAUCUUCCAUGUUUCUUUUCUGGUGCGCGAUGGACUUGCUAAAGUUUACCUGGACAGAGACAAUUUACCGGUCAUCGAACCGGUAAGUUUGGAGGAGAAUAAAACUCAAGAAAGCACGAAGCGUACCCGUCAGUGUGUCAUCUCUAUAUCUCCAGCUGAAUGGCGGGCAAUUAAAAAAACCUUCGACCUCCGAACUGCAAUGAUCCCAUCAAGAACGCCUCAUGAAACGAAUAGAUCCCAAAUGACUGCUGCUAUCAUUCCUUCUCCUACAACAUCAUCGACCACAAAAACAUCAUCAUCAUCUGCGACAGGUAGAAGCAGAAGAUAAUCACAAAAUUACCAUUAACAGACUCCCUUUUUUUUUUUUUUUUGGUAUUAUUAUUAUUUUUUUUCUUUCUGUUUUUAAUUUUCAGUAGUGACAUUUUAUCAAAUGGGUCCAAAGACUGCAUCUUAAACUCCUUUGCAAAAGGUAUGAACAGCUCUCUGUGUCCCGCUGUCUCCCAUCUUCUCCAAGAUACAAUGAGUUUCUUAGGUGGGGGCCUCUGCUAGAAGGACGUCAUUUGUUUUUGGUCCGCUUGGAAUUCCGAAACUGUUGCUGCUCUCUUCUGUUUCUCAUCAUUUUUCUUUCACUGCCUCCGAGGGAACAGCUUGAUGUAUUGGUGAACAGUCAAUGGCGUUGGAGAGCAUGCUGUUGGAAGGUCAUAUGUGUGGCAGCAGGAGUUGGUUCCUUACCAUCCCAGAAAGAGUCAGACAUAAUUGUCAGAGAAUUUCUACAACUUCCCUGGCACCAAUUUCCUAGAUUGUCAUCCCAUGGAUUUCUAUGUGUGAGAUGCAGAGGUAAAAGACACCAACUGCUCUGCUUGCAACACUAAAGCCAAGCUGGAGGCCAAGAUCAAAGAGGUAUUCAAAGAUCUUCACAGGGACACAGUGAGGAAUACUUGCAACAAGUUCUGGGGCUGUCUUGAAGCUGUGGGGGAAGCUAUGGGGUGUCUACUUUAAAUAAAAUGCUUUUCAAAUCUA